GGAUCCAGACUUUGAUCAUGGCUCAGGACGAACGCUGGCGGCGUGCUUAACACAUGCAAGGCGAACGAUGAAGCCCAGCUUGCUGGGUGGAUUAGUGGCGAACGGGUGAGUAACACGUGAGUAACCUGCCCUUGACUCUGGGAUAAGCACUAGAAAUGGUGUCUAAUACCGGAUACGACCCUCGGAGGCAUCUUCAGGGGGUGGAAAGAAUUUCGGUCAAGGAUGGACUCGCGGCCUAUCAGGUAGUUGGUGAGGUAAUGGCUCACCAAGCCGACGACGGGUAGCCGGCCUGAGAGGGUGACCGGCCACACUGGGACUGAGACACGGCCCAGACUCCUACGGGAGGCAGCAGUGGGGAAUAUUGCACAAUGGGCGAAAGCCUGAUGCAGCAACGCCGCGUGAGGGACGACGGCCUUCGGGUUGUAAACCUCUUUUAGUAGGGAAGAAGCGAAAGUGACGGUACCUGCAGAAAAAGCACCGGCUAACUACGUGCCAGCAGCCGCGGUAAUACGUAGGGUGCAAGCGUUGUCCGGAAUUAUUGGGCGUAAAGAGCUCGUAGGCGGUUUGUCGCGUCUGCUGUGAAAUCCGGAGGCUCAACCUCCGGCCUGCAGUGGGUACGGGCAGACUAGAGUGCGGUAGGGGAGAUUGGAAUUCCUGGUGUAGCGGUGGAAUGCGCAGAUAUCAGGAGGAACACCAAUGGCGAAGGCAGAUCUCUGGGCCGUAACUGACGCUGAGGAGCGAAAGCAUGGGGAGCGAACAGGAUUAGAUACCCUGGUAGUCCAUGCCGUAAACGUUGGGAACUAGAUGUAGGGGCCAUUCCACGGUUUCUGUGUCGCAGCUAACGCAUUAAGUUCCCCGCCUGGGGAGUACGGCCGCAAGGCUAAAACUCAAGGGAAUUGACGGGGGCCCGCACAAGCGGCGGAGCAUGCGGAUUAAUUCGAUGCAACGCGAAGAACCUUACCAAGGCUUGACAUGUACCGGAAACCUGCAGAAAUGUAGGCCCCGCAAGGUCGGUAUACAGGUGGUGCAUGGUUGUCGUCAGCUCGUGUCGUGAGAUGUUGGGUUAAGUCCCGCAACGAGCGCAACGC
rnacentral:rRNA from 1 species